rnacentral:rRNA from 1 species
GACGAACGCUGGCGGCGUGCUUAACACAUGCAAGUCGAACGGAAAGGCCCCCACCUUGGUGGGGGUGCUCGAGUGGCGAACGGGUGAGUAACACGUGGGUGAUCUGCCCUGUACUUCGGGAUAAGCUUGGGAAACUGGGUCUAAUACCGGAUAGGACCAUGGUUUAGUGUCUCAUGGUGGAAAGAUUAUUGUUUUGGUGCAGGAUGAGCUCGCGGCCUAUCAGCUUGUUGGUGGGGUAAUGGCCUACCAAGGCGUCGACGGGUAGCCGGCCUGAGAGGGUGGACGGCCACAUUGGGACUGAGAUACGGCCCAGACUCCUACGGGAGGCAGCAGGAGGGAAUAUUGCACAAUGGGCGCAAGCCUGAUGCAGCGACGCCGCGUGGGGGAUGACGGCCUUCGGGUUGUAAACUCCUUUCGUUAGGGACGAAGCCGCACUUUUUUUGGGUGUGGUGACGGUACCUUUGUUAAGAAGCACCGGCUAACUACGUG